rnacentral:rRNA from 1 species
UACGUAGGGUGCAAGCGUUAAUCGGAAUUACUGGGCGUAAAGCGUGCGCAGGCGGUUAUGCAAGACAGAUGUGAAAUCCCCGGGCUCAACCUGGGAACUGCAUUUGUGACUGCAUGGCUGGAGUGCGGCAGAGGGGGGGAUGGAAUUCCGCGUGUAGCAGUGAAAUGCGUAGAUAUGCGGAGGAACACCGAUGGCGAAGGCAAUCCCCUGGGCCUGCACUGACGCUCAUGCACGAAAGCGUGGGGAGCAAACAGG